UGCAAGUCGAGCGGUAGAGAGAAGCUUGCUUCUCUUGAGAGCGGCGGACGGGUGAGUAAAGCCUAGGAAUCUGCCUGGUAGUGGGGGAUAACGUUCGGAAACGGACGCUAAUACCGCAUACGUCCUACGGGAGAAAGCAGGGGACCUUCGGGCCUUGCGCUAUCAGAUGAGCCUAGGUCGGAUUAGCUAGUUGGUGAGGUAAUGGCUCACCAAGGCGACGAUCCGUAACUGGUCUGAGAGGAUGAUCAGUCACACUGGAACUGAGACACGGUCCAGACUCCUACGGGAGGCAGCAGUGGGGAAUAUUGGACAAUGGGCGAAAGCCUGAUCCAGCCAUGCCGCGUGUGUGAAGAAGGUCUUCGGAUUGUAAAGCACUUUAAGUUGGGAGGAAGGGCAUUAACCUAAUACGUUAGUGUUUUGACGUUACCGACAGAAUAAGCACCGGCUAACUCUGUGCCAGCAGCCGCGGUAAUACAGAGGGUGCAAGCGUUAAUCGGAAUUACUGGGCGUAAAGCGCGCGUAGGUGGUUUGUUAAGUUGGAUGUGAAAUCCCCGGGCUCAACCUGGGAACUGCAUUCAAAACUGACUGACUAGAGUAUGGUAGAAGGUGGUGGAAUUUCCUGUGUAGCGGUGAAAUGCGUAGAUAUAGGAAGGAACACCAGUGGCGAAAGCGACCACCUGGACUAAUACUGACACUGAAGUGCCAAAGCGUGGGGAGCAAACAGGAUUAGAUACCCUGGUAGUCCACGCCGUAAACGAUGUCAACUAGCCGUUGGGAGCCUUGAGCUCUUAGUGGCGCAGCUAACGCAUUAAGUUGACCGCCUGGGGAGUACGGCCGCAAGGUUAAACUCAAAUGAAUUGACGGGGGCCCGCACAAGCGGUGGAGCAUGUGGUUUAAUUCGAAGCAACGCGAAGAACCUUACCAGGCCUUGACAUCCAAUGAACUUUCUAAAGAUAGAUUGGUGCCUUCGGGAA
rnacentral:rRNA from 1 species